rnacentral:lncRNA from 1 species
AGAAUAGCCCAUAGCUGAGUGGGUAGGGUACUCAUGUGAGAUGUGAAACACCCAGCUUCAUGUCCCUCCUCUGAGUUAGGCAGAACAUGGAUUUGAACCUAUGUCUAUCACAUCUUAGGUUAGUGCCCUAGUUACUGGGGUCUCUUGUGAUUUUCACUAAUUUUUUUUUUAAGUUCUCAUUUUUGUUCCAAGAGAAAGAAAACAAAGUUUCCAACAAACCUUGAAUUUUUUUGUGAAACAGAAUUUUUGUUUUCCAGCUAGCCCUAGCAAAAACACAACUCAGGGUAGGUAGGGAUGGCUGAGAUUUGUUCAUGCCCCCAAACAAUGUGGGAAAGUUAGAUUCAGAAAUUCAUCAAGCAACUUAAGAUUUUAAAGUGUGUUUGUGGUAUAUAUUAGUGUGUACUCUCUCAGUGAAUAGCUGAUUCACUGUACGAUACAUUAAAAUGUACAUCUGACCAAGUAAAUGAAAAGGCAAUUUUAACAUAAAUCAAAUGCAUGGGAAAACAGUCAUUCAGAUAUAAGAAUAGUGCUACAAGCAAACCUUCAAAGUAGGGAUUUUGUUUGUUUUUUUUAAACAAAAAGCAAAACUCAGACUUGAGUUUUGAAACAGUUUCAUCUUACAUUCUUAGCUAUACUAGUGGACCAGCCUAGGAGUACUUGCAGAAUGUGACAUUCAGCAAGUGACAUUGGAUGCAACUUGAGUAGAAUACAGAGAAAGUAGUAAAUGCGGGGAAAAUAGGUUUUGUGCAUUUGUUCAUAAACACUGAAUUUACACAUUGUGCAGUUCAUGGGGCUGGAGACUGACGCUCUUCCUCUAUUUAUAAGUCCAGGAAUACAAUCCAAAGAAUACCAUGCUGUUCUUUGAAUCUCGCAAUGAAUGCACUAGCUUUCACAUAAGUUUCCAGCUGGCCAGGAGCUAAAGAAUUUUUUUCUAAAUGUAAGGACCACUGACCUGGAAACCAAAUGCCACUGUGCAUGUGGGAUGAAACAAAACCAGUGGCCAGAAGAAUCCACCAUGUAUUCCAUGUGUUUCCCAAAGCAGAGCAGCUCUUGAUACUCUUAAAAGUAGGAUUUAGUGGAUACA